rnacentral:rRNA from 1 species
UAGGGAGGCAGCAGUGGGGAAUAUUGCACAAUGGGCGAAAGCCUGAUGCAGCUAUGCCGCGUGUAUGAAGAAGGCCUUAGGGUUGUAAAGUACUUUCAUCGGGGAGGAAAAAACAAAACUAAUAAUUUUAUUUCUUGACGUUACCCGAAAAAGAAGCACCGGCUAACUCCGUGCCAGCAGCCGCGGUAAUACGGAGGGUGCUAGCGUUAAUCAGAAUUACUGGGCGUAAAGAGCACGUAGGUGGUUUUUUUAAAGUCAGAUGUGAAAUCCCUGGGCUUAACCUAGGAACUGCAUUUUGAAACUGAAAUACUAGAGUAUCGUAGAGGGAGGUAGAAUUCUAGGUGUAGCGGUGAAAUGCGUAGAUAUCUGGAGGAAUACCUGUGGCGAAAGCGGCCUCCUAAACGAAUACUGACACUGAGGUGCGAAAGCGUGGGGAGCAAACAGGGAUUAGAUACC